GGCCCGCACAAGCGGUGGAGUAUGUGGUUUAAUUCGAUGCAACGCGAAGAACCUUACCAGGGUUUGACAUCCUGCGAAUCUCUUGGAAACAGGAGAGUGCCUUCGGGAACGCAGUGACAGGUGGUGCAUGGCUGUCGUCAGCUCGUGUCGUGAGAUGUUGGGUUAAGUCCCGCAACGAGCGCAACCUACGUCUUUAGUUGCCAGCAUUUUAGUUGGGCACUCUAGAGAGACUGCCGGUGAUAAACCGGAGAAGGUGUGGAUGACGUCAAGUCAUCAUGCCCCUUACAUCUGGGCCUACACACGUACUACAAUGCUACGGACAAAGGGCUGCAAGUUCGCGAGGACAAGCAAAUCCCAUAAACGUGGCUCAGUUCAGA
rnacentral:rRNA from 1 species